UGCAUCGGCCGGGAAUCGAACCUGGGCCGCCCGCGUUCUACCACUGAACCACCGAUGA
rnacentral:tRNA from 1 species